rnacentral:rRNA from 1 species
UACGUAGGGGGGCAAGCGUUGUCCGGAAUCAUUGGGCGUAAAGAGCGUGUAGGCGGCCCGGUAAGUCCGCUGUGAAAGUCCAGGGCUCAACCCUGGGAUGCCGGUGGAUACUGUCGGGCUCGAGUCCGGAAGAGGAGUGUGGAAUUCCUGGUGUAGCGGUGAAAUGCGCAGAUAUCAGGAGGAACACCGAUGGCGAAGGCAGGUCUCUGGGCCGAUACUGACGCUGAGGAGCGAAAAGCGUGGGGGAGCGAACAGG